rnacentral:misc_RNA from 1 species
UUUCCGUAGGUGAACCUGCGGAAGGAUCAUUACCGAUUUAGGGUCUUCUAGGCACGACCUCCCAACCCUUUGUUUACUGAACCAUUGUUGCCUCGGUAGCUCCGUCUUACGACCGCCGGGGGAACGCCUCGAGGCGACCCCUGGCCAGCGCCCACCGAUAGCCCAACCUUUAAAACCCGUUGUGAAUCGUGUCUUAUGUCUAAAUUUAUGAUUAAACAAUCAAAACAAAACUUUCAACGACGGAUCUCUUGGUUCUG